rnacentral:rRNA from 1 species
GAUGAACGCUAGCGGCAGGCUUAAUACAUGCAAGUCGAGGGGCAUCAAGGUACACGAAAGUGUAUUGUUGGCGACCGGCGGACGGGUGAGUAAUAGGUAGGUAACCUACCUCAUACUGAGGCAUAGCUGGGAGAAAUUCCAGGUAAUUCCUCAUGAGGUUAUAUGACACAUGUGAUAUAAUCAAAGGUAUCGCAAGGUACUGGUAUGAGAUGGGCUUACUGACCAUUAGCUAGUUGGUGAGAUAAGAGCUCACCAAGGCGAAGAUGGUUAGGGGUUUUGAGAGAGAGAUCCCCCACAUUGGAACUGAGAUACGGUCCAGACUCCUACGGGAGGCAGCAGUUAGGAAUUUUCCACAAUGGGCGCAAGCCUGAUGGAGCAACGCCGCGUGCAGGAUGAAGGUUUUCGGAUUGUAAACUGCUUUUAUGUGUGAAGAAUAUGACGGUAACACAUGAAUAAGGAUCGGCUAACUCCGUG